rnacentral:rRNA from 1 species
CCUACGGGCGGCAGCAGUGGGGAAUAUUGCACAAUGGGGGCAACCCUGAUGCAGCGACGCCGCGUGAGGGAAGAAGUAUUUCGGGAUGUAAAGUUCUAUUCUCAGGGACGAAAAUGGUGGCAGUUCCUCAAGAAUAAGCCGCUGCUAACUACGUAGCAGCCGCCGCGGUAAGACGUAGGUGGCAAGCGUUAGCCGUAUUUGUUGGGAGUAAAGGGGGUGUAGGCGGGCAAGCAAGUCAGAUGUGAAAACUCAGGGCUCAACCCUGAGGCUUCAUUUGAAACUGUCUUUCUUGAGUGCCGGAGAGGCAAGCGGAAUUCCGUGUGUAGCGGUGAAAUGCGUAGAUAUAAGGAGGAACACCAGUGGCGAAGGCGGAUUGCUGGACAGUAACUGACGCUGAGGCUCGAAAGCGUGGGGAGCAAACAGGAUUAGAUACCCCGGUAGUC